AUGAAGACAUGGCAGCUUUUCAUGGUCCAUCUUCUCACUCAUUACCUCCUUUUUCUCACAUCCAGCUCCUCUCAACCCACCAACAACCAAAGUAGCAACUACAGUGCCGAUCUUCGUGUGCUCCUAUCAUUCAAAUCGUUCAUAACCAGUGACCCUGCAGAGGCACUGUCCUCUUGGUCCUGGGACCCUGUCAGGAACGACACGAGCACGACGACGUUGCCUGAUUACUGCAAGUGGACGGCCGUGUCCUGCAGCAACCGCCGGCACCCAGGCCAUGUCACCGCCAUACGUCUGCAUGGCUUGGGCCUCGCCGGCACCAUCUGCCCGCAGCUCGGUAACCUGACCCACCUCCGUGCCCUCAGUAUUUCAGCCAACAACUUCGAAGGUGAGAUCCCAGGCAGCCUUGGUGGUUGUGCAUCACUUCGUGCCUUGGACCUGAGGGGGAACUACCUCUCUGGUUCCAUGCCUGCUUCUCUGGGUCUCCUAUCAAAGCUCACAUUUCUCAAUGUUUCCCAUAACAAUCUGAUUGGUGAUAUUCCCAUGUCAUUCUCCAACCUCACAGCCCUCAUGAAGCUUAGUAUGCGCAAAAACCAAUUCCAUGGCCAAAUCCCGAGUUGGCUCGGUAACCUGACAUCACUGACACACGUAGGAUUAGGCCAGAACGGUUUCAGUGGCCAUAUCUCUCCAGCUCUAGGUAAGUUGGACAAUCUUUCUACGUUUGAUAUCAGGGAUAACAAACUGGAAGGCCCUUUUCCUCCAUCGUUGUUCAAUAUUUCCUCCAUCACAUACUUCAACAUUGCCUUCAACAAGUUUUCCGGAUCUUUGCCACUUGAUAUUGGCUUUAAGCUUCCCAAGCUAAAGUUUUUUAUCACAAUUGUGAACCAAUUUAUAGGACCAAUACCAGGCUCCCUGUCAAAUGCAUCGCCACUUGAAUUUUUGGUUCUUGGCGGAAAUCAGCAUAAUGGUCUGAUUCCACGGGACAUUGGCAUCCAUGGUCAUAUCCGGGGAUUUUUGUUAGGAUACAAUUUGCUUCAAACCACAGAGCCUAGUGAUUGGGAUUUCCUCGUAUCCUUAACCAACUGUAGCAACCUGGAAGUACUAGACCUUGAAGAAAACAACCUUGAAGGUGUUAUGCCUGUUUCUAUUGCCAACCUAUCUGCAGAGCUCAACUGGAUUUCACUAGGUAAAAACAAAAUAACUGGGACCCUACCUGCAGGGUUAGGGAAGUUUAAAAAACUUACAAUGUUUAUCCUCACAUAUAGCCUUUUCACAGGCACUUUGCCUCUUGAUAUUGGCCUGAUUUCUAGCCUCCAGUAUCUCGACCUAUCCCAUAGUAGAUUCUAUGGGAAGAUUCCACAAUCAUUUGGCAAUAUCACACAAUUGAGCAGCCUCUCUCUAUCUAAUAACUUUCUAGAUGGCAGCAUUCCAGCAAACCUUGGUACUCUCACAAAACUUAUAUCUCUUGAUCUUUCCGCUAACUCCUUGUGGGGGGAAAUCCCGCAGGAGAUACUUACGAUUCCUUCUCUUACUGUACUUCUCAACCUCUCCAACAAUGCUCUAAGUGCUCCAUUCCAACACAGAUAG
rnacentral:rRNA from 1 species